rnacentral:rRNA from 1 species
GACGAACGCUGGCGGCGUGCCUAACACAUGCAAGUCGAACGGAAAGGCCCUGCUUUUGUGGGGUGCUCGAGUGGCGAACGGGUGAGUAACACGUGAGUAACCUGCCCUUGACUUUGGGAUAACUUCAGGAAACUGGGGCUAAUACCGGAUAGGAGCUCCUGCUGCAUGGUGGGGGUUGGAAAGUUUCGGCGGUUGGGGAUGGACUCGCGGCUUAUCAGCUUGUUGGUGGGGUAGUGGCUUACCAAGGCUUUGACUGGUAGCCGGCCUGAGAGGGUGACCGGCCACAUUGGGACUGAGAUACGGCCCAGACUCCUACGGGAGGCAGCAGUGGGGAAUAUUGCACAAUGGGCGGAAGCCUGAUGCAGCAACGCCGCGUGCGGGAUGACGGCCUUCGGGUUGUAAACCGCUUUCGCCUGUGACGAAGCGUGAGUGACGGUAAUGGGUAAAGAAGCACCGGCUAACUACGUGCCAGCAGCCGCGGUGAUACGUAGGGUGCGAGCGUUGUCCGGAUUUAUUGGGCGUAAAGGGCUCGUAGGUGGUUGAUCGCGUCGGAAGUGUAAUCUUGGGGCUUAACCCUGAGCGUGCUUUCGAUACGGGUUGACUUGAGGAAGGUAGGGGAGAAUGGAAUUCCUGGUGGAGCGGUGGAAUGCGCAGAUAUCAGGAGGAACACCAGUGGCGAAGGCGGUUCUCUGGGCCUUUCCUGACGCUGAGGAGCGAAAGCGUGGGGAGCGAACAGGCUUAGAUACCCUGGUAGUCCACGCUGUAAACGGUGGGUACUAGGUGUGGGGUCCAUUCCACGGGUUCCGUGCCGUAGCUAACGCUUUAAGUACCCCGCCUGGGGAGUACGGCCGCAAGGCUAAAACUCAAAGGAAUUGACGGGGCCCCGCACAAGCGGCGGAGCAUGCGGAUUAAUUCGAUGCAACGCGUAGAACCUUACCUGGGUUUGACAUGGAUCGGGAGUGCUCAGAGAUGGGUGUGCCUCUUUUGGGGUCGGUUCACAGGUGGUGCAUGGCUGUCGUCAGCUCGUGUCGUGAGAUGUUGGGUUAAGUCCCGCAACGAGCGCAACCCUUGUUCACUGUUGCCAGCACGUUAUGGUGGGGACUCAGUGGAGACCGCCGGGGUCAACUCGGAGGAAGGUGGGGAUGACGUCAAGUCAUCAUGCCCCUUAUGUCCAGGGCUUCACGCAUGCUACAAUGGCUGGUACAGAGAGUGGCGAGCCUGUGAGGGUGAGCGAAUCUCGGAAAGCCGGUCUCAGUUCGGAUUGGGGUCUGCAACUCGACCUCAUGAAGUCGGAGUCGCUAGUAAUCGCAGAUCAGCAACGCUGCGGUGAAUACGUUCCCGGG